GACGAACGCUGGCGGCGUGCUUAACACAUGCAAGUCGAACGGAAAGGCCCUGCUUUUGUGGGGUGCUCGAGUGGCGAACGGGUGAGUAACACGUGAGUAACCUGCCCUUGACUUUGGGAUAACUUCAGGAAACUGGGGCUAAUACCGGCUAGGAGCUCCUGCUGCAUGGUGGGGGUUGGACAGUUUCGGCGGUUGUGGAUGGACUCGCGGCUUAUCAGCUUGUUGGUGGGGUAGUGGCUUACCAAGGCAUUGACGGGUAGCCGGCCUGGGAGGGUGACCGGCCACAUGGGGACUGAGAUACGGCCCAGACUCCUACGGGAGGCAGCAGUGGGGAAUAUUGCACAAUGGGCGGAAGCCUGAGGCAGCAACGCCGCGUGCGGGAUGACGGCCUUCGGGUGGUAAACCGCUUUCGCCUGUGACGAAGCGUGAGUGACGGUAAUGGGUAAAGAAGCACCGGCUAACUACGUG
rnacentral:rRNA from 1 species